AUGUUGGUUAAUCGUACUGUUGAGUCAUAUAUUCGGAUGUCUAAUUUCAGUUUUCUUAUAUCCUCCAAUAAUUGGCUUUGAUGUGUGAUUAAAACCGCCAAAUUUUUCAUGGAUUUUCUACUAAGGGCAUCAGCAACGACAUUAGCUUUUUCGGGAUGAUAAUGAAUUGUUAAAUCAUAAUCUUUCAACAGUUCUAACCACC
rnacentral:lncRNA from 1 species